GGAAGGAUCAUUCUUGGUAUUUCACAACUGAAAACUUUUUACCUGUUUUCUUUUGUACUACUGAAAAAUCCUAUUGGCCCUUUUUCUCUUUCUUCCGAGAAGAAGAUAGAGAGAGAGGGAUUGUGUCGAUGUAACCAUUUUGUUUUCCAACAACACAACAAAACCUUAUUCAAAAUCAAAACCAGUCCUAUGACCAUUCGAAACAAAAUGUCAUAACAACAUUCAGCAAUGGAUCUCUAGGCUCUCGCAUCGAUGAAGAACGCAGCGAAAUGCGAUACGUGAUGUGAAUUGCAUACUCGUGAAUCAUCGAAUCUUUGAACGCAAAUGGCGCUCGGCCGCUUCGGUGUGCCGAGCAUGUCUGUUUGAGGGUCAGUUUUACCUGCUUUCGCAAGCCCCGCCCAGUUGUGGGGUGUUUUUUUUUUUGCGAAGACGAUGCGCCGUUCACUUCCGCUCCCUCUUUUUUUUGGGGGGGAGAGGAGGAGGUGAUCGCGUGAAAAGCAUUUUUGUUGUUCCUCUUCUGGAGAAAGAACAAAGCAUUUUGCAAUAGCGAACGUUCCGAGGUCCCGACCUUUUGUAUUUUUUUUAUUUUACAAUAACGGGACCGGAAGGUGGGUGUUGUUUCGACAACGCAAAUCUUACGGAAGCAUCUCUGCUGCUUUUUCUUAACCAACUUAAAUGACCUCAAAUCAGGCAAGAGCACCCGCUGAACUUAAGCAUAUCAUUAAGCGGAGGAAAAGAAACUAACCAGGAUUCCCCUAGUAACGGCGAGUGAAGCGGGAAGAGCCCAACAUGAAAACCUGGCGCCCUGACGGGGGCGUCCGGAUUGUAGGCUGGAGGUCCGUAUCCCAACCUGCGGGUUGCGCACAAGUCCCAUGGAAAGGGGCAUCACAGAGGGUGAGAAUCCCGUAGUGGGCGCAGCUGAUGAAGGCGCAGGGAAUGCGGUGCGGAACCGACGAGUCGGAUUGCUUGGGAGUGCAGUCCUAAAUGGGUGGUAGAUCCCAUCUAAGGCUAAAUAUUGGCGAGAGACCGAUAGCGAACAAGUACCGUGAGGGAAAGAUGAAAAGCACUUUGAAAAGAGAGUGAAAAGGGCGUGAAAUUGCUGAGUGGCAACGGAUGGCCGCCUUGGGUACGGCCCGUCGCGGAUCGUUUUUUCCCUGCGGGGGGGAGGCGCACUGCGCGGCGGGUGUGAGCCAGCAUCGGUUUGUCGGGGUGGUCUUUUUAUUUACGGCGGCCAGGAAGAUGGCUCGCUGCGUCUCUCGGGACGUAGCUUGUUUUACAGCCUGGCCGGACCGGCUAUACUGCCGGCCCCGCAGACCGAGGCUUUUGAAGAGCUCGGCAGGGUCUUUCGACGGGAUCUUUGUGCAUUCGCAAGCGCCGUCGCGGAAGCUGUUCAGCCGGUGGCGUCGUCCAGAACGGAAAACAGCCCUGCGGCUGCGAGUGUGCAUGCAUGGAGCAUCCCCUGUUGCCUGCCGAUAGGAUGCUGGCGAGUGGGCGGCGAUCCACCCGUCUUGAAACACGGACCAAGGAGUCUAACCUGUGUGCGAGUCUUUGGGUGGUUCAAACCCGAGGGCGGAAUGAAAGUGAGCGGUGGGAUUUCUUUGUCACAGAAGAAUGCACCAUCGACCGGCCCUGAGCCCUCUGUGGGGAGGGUGCCGAGUCGGAGCAUACCUGUUAGGACCCGAAAGAUGGUGAACUAUGCCUGAGCAGGGUGAAGCCAGAGGAAACUCUGGUGGAGGCUCGAAGCGGUGCCGACGCGCAAAUCGCUCGUCGGACUUGGGUAUAGGGGCGAAAGACUAAUCGAACCAUCUAGUAGCUGGUUCCCUC
rnacentral:misc_RNA from 1 species